rnacentral:rRNA from 2 species
AGAGUUUGAUCCUGGCUCAGGACGAACGCUGGCGGCGUGCCUAAUACAUGCAAGUCGAACGAACUCUGGUAUUGAUUGGUGCUUGCAUCAUGAUUUACAUUUGAGUGAGUGGCGAACUGGUGAGUAACACGUGGGAAACCUGCCCAGAAGCGGGGGAUAACACCUGGAAACAGAUGCUAAUACCGCAUAACAACUUGGACCGCAUGGUCCGAGCUUGAAAGAUGGCUUCGGCUAUCACUUUUGGAUGGUCCCGCGGCGUAUUAGCUAGAUGGUGGGGUAACGGCUCACCAUGGCAAUGAUACGUAGCCGACCUGAGAGGGUAAUCGGCCACAUUGGGACUGAGACACGGCCCAAACUCCUACGGGAGGCAGCAGUAGGGAAUCUUCCACAAUGGACGAAAGUCUGAUGGAGCAACGCCGCGUGAGUGAAGAAGGGUUUCGGCUCGUAAAACUCUGUUGUUAAAGAAGAACAUAUCUGAGAGUAACUGUUCAGGUAUUGACGGUAUUUAACCAGAAAGCCACGGCUAACUACGUGCCAGCAGCCGCGGUAAUACGUAGGUGGCAAGCGUUGUCCGGAUUUAUUGGGCGUAAAGCGAGCGCAGGCGGUUUUUUAAGUCUGAUGUGAAAGCCUUCGGCUCAACCGAAGAAGUGCAUCGGAAACUGGGAAACUUGAGUGCAGAAGAGGACAGUGGAACUCCAUGUGUAGCGGUGAAAUGCGUAGAUAUAUGGAAGAACACCAGUGGCGAAGGCGGCUGUCUGGUCUGUAACUGACGCUGAGGCUCGAAAGUAUGGGUAGCAAACAGGAUUAGAUACCCUGGUAGUCCAUACCGUAAACGAUGAAUGCUAAGUGUUGGAGGGUUUCCGCCCUUCAGUGCUGCAGCUAACGCAUUAAGCAUUCCGCCUGGGGAGUACGGCCGCAAGGCUGAAACUCAAAGGAAUUGACGGGGCCCGCACAAGCGGUGGAGCAUGUGGUUUAAUUCGAAGCUACGCGAAGAACCUUACCAGGUCUUGACAUACUAUGCAAAUCUAAGAGAUUAGACGUUCCCUUCGGGACAUGGAUACAGGUGGUGCAUGGUUGUCGUCAGCUCGUGUCGUGAGAUGUUGGGUUAAGUCCCGCAACGAGCGCAACCCUUAUUAUCAGUUGCCAGCAUUAAGUUGGGCACUCUGGUGAGACUGCCGGUGACAAACCGGAGGAAGGUGGGGAUGACGUCAAAUCAUCAUGCCCCUUAUGACCUGGGCUACACACGUGCUACAAUGGAUGGUACAACGAGUUGCGAACUCGCGAGAGUAAGCUAAUCUCUUAAAGCCAUUCUCAGUUCGGAUUGUAGGCUGCAACUCGCCUACAUGAAGUCGGAAUCGCUAGUAAUCGCGGAUCAGCAUGCCGCGGUGAAUACGUUCCCGGGCCUUGUACACACCGCCCGUCACACCAUGAGAGUUUGUAACACCCAAAGUCGGUGGGGUAACCUUUUAGGAACCAGCCGCCUAAGGUGGACAGAUGAUUAGGGUGAAGUCGUAACAAGGUAGCCGUAGGAGAACCUGCGGCUGGAUCACCU